AUGGAUUUUCAGGUGCAGAUUUUCAGCUUUCCUACUAAUCAGUGUCACAGUGUCCAAUGGACAAAUUGUUCUCACCCAGUCUCCAGCAUCCAUGGCUGCAUCUCAAGGGGAAAGGGUCACCAUGACAUGUGUUGCCAGCUCAAGUGUAAGUACCAGUUAUUUGCACUGGUACCAGCAGAAACCAGGAGCCUCCCCUAAGCUCCUGAUUUAUAAAACAUCCAAUCUGGCUUCUGGAGUCCCAGCUCGCUUCAGUGGCAGUGGGUCUGGGACCUCUUACUCUCUCACAAUCAGCAGCAUGGAGGCUGAAGAUGCUGCCACUUACUACUGUCAGCAGUGGAAUUCUCAUCCAAUAACUGAUGGAAGUGGA